rnacentral:rRNA from 1 species
GUGUCAGUUCAUACAGAAUAUUCGUGAGACUGCGGACGGCUCAGUAUAUCAGUUAUAAUCUAUUUGAUUUUCACUCCCAAUGGAUAACCGUGGGAAAUCUAUAGCUAAUACAUGCAGUUUAGAGGGUGUCAAAGCCUUCUAUGCAUUUAUUAGAACAAAACCGACUACUGCAGUGAGGUCGAAAGCUUCAUUGUCGUAAGGUGAAUCUAGAUAACUUUGCAGAUCGUAUGGCCUAUAGCCGGCGACGUUUCAAUUGAAUUUCUGCCCUAUCAACUUGUUGGUAAGGUAGUGGCUUACCAAGGUUACAACGGGUAACGGGGAAUCAGGGUUCGAUUCCGGAGAGGGAGCCUGAGAAAUGGCUACCACAUCCAAGGGAGGCAGCAGGCGCGCAAAUUACCCAAUCCAGAUUCUGGGAGGUGGUGACGAGAAAUACUAGAUGGUUUCCCUAUGGGAUGCCAUACUGGAAUGGACGUAACUCAAGAAAUUCGAUGAGUAACAACUAGAGGGCAAGUCUGGUGCCAGCAGCCGCGGUAAUUCCAGCUCUAGUAGUGUAUCGUAAAGUUGCUGCGUUUAAAAAGCUCGUAGUUGGAUUACGCAGCAUGAAUCAGUCGAUUGGCGCUGUAGCACGCUAACUCUGGGUGGAUGUUUGUCUUUUCUGCGGUUAAUCCCAGCGAGGGAUAGGUGUCUACUACAGAGUGUUACGCGUCAAUUAAAAGCUGGUUCAUACUACUUAUACGUGAGAAUGGUGGUUGACCUUUAGUGCGUUGACCAUUUGUGUCUUACGAGGUGUGCCUUGAAUAAAUCAGAGUGCUCAAAGCAAGGGGAAAGCUUGAAUGUUAAUAGCAUGGAACCAACAAUUGUGUAUUAGGUGCACUUCGGAUCGGGGCAUCAGUGGGUUUAUACUCGCUUUUGUUUCGGUUCGAGGUGCAGCACCAACCACCAAUUACGGAUGUUGGUUUCCGUAUUGGGGUGAUGAUUAAGAGGAGCGGUUGGGGGCAUUGGUAUUUGGCCGCGAGAGGUGAAAUUCUUGGACCGGCCAAGGACUAACAAAUGCGAAGGCAUCUGUCAAGACCGUUUCCAUUAAUCAAGAACGAUAGUGGGAGGUUCGAAGACGAUCAGAUACCGUCCUAGUUCUCACCGUAAACUAUGCCGACCCGGGAUCAGUUUUGAGCAAUAUAACGCUCGUGGUUGGUCCCCCUGGGAAACCUCAAGUUUUUAGGUUACGGGGGGAGUAUGGUUGCAAGGCUGAAACUUAAAGGAAUUGACGGAAGGGCACCACCAGGGGUGGAGCCUGCGGCUUAAUUUGACUCAC